UCCUGAGUAGUUCACAGUAAAGUAUCUGUCUGCAAUGCAGGAGACCCGGGUUCGAUCCCUGGGUCGGGAA
rnacentral:tRNA from 1 species